rnacentral:rRNA from 1 species
AUUGAACGCUGGCGGCAGGCCUAACACAUGCAAGUCGAGCGGAGCGGCGGACGGGUGAGUAAUGCCUAGGAAUCUGCCUGGUAGUGGGGGAUAACGUCCGGAAACGGGCGCUAAUACCGCAUACUAUCAGAUGAGCCCAGGUCGGAUUAGCUAGUUGGUGGGGUACAGGCAUACCAAGGCGACGAUCCGUAACUGGUCUGGGAGGCUGAUCAGUCACACUAGAACUGGGACGCGGUCCAGACUCCUACGGGAGGCAGCAGUGGGGAAUAUUGGACAAUGGGCGAAAGCCUGAUCCAGCCAUGCCGCGUGUGUGAAGAAGGUCUUCGGAUUGUAAAGCACUUUAAGUUGGGAGACGUUACCAGCAGAAUAAGCACCGGCUAGCUUCGUGCCAGCAGCCGCGGUAAUUC